AGUGACUAUUUUCACGGAAGGAGCCUGCACGCAUACACAUUGCCCUGCUUCCAGACACCCUAAAGACAAUUCUUCAAAAGGCCCCAAGGUUUCCCAAGGGCUGAGCACAUCUGGAGUCUGUGUGCGUCUCACACCCCACCCACUGGUUCCUGCUGCACUCACAUCUGAAGUGAAACAGAAUAAGAAGAAACAAGAGCAAAAGGAGAUUUUGACAUAACUCGAGAAUUAUUUUCCUGUGGCUAUGAGGGAAAAAUGUGCUGUUCCCUGACAGAUGUGGCACUCAUCACUCGAGGAUAUGUCAAAGGGACUGUCUAGGUGCUGAGCAAGCACUGCUGUAUGAGACAUUUGGGCUUCUUUGGCACCUUUCUUUGUCGUGGGCGCAGGAUCCUCUUGAAUGCAAAUGUGAGCCAUCCUGUCCAAGGCGAGGCCCCACCAAGCCGGCCGCUCCCAGUACUUUUGGCUGUGGCAUUUUCUCCGGUUCUUCCCCUGCAUUGUCAAAACGGGAACAGACUGCGCAGAAGGAACGCGUUUGGUGCGGAGACCAGAGCCAGGGCAGUAUGAGGCAGAUCCAGGCAAUCUGCUCUGCUCCUCCCAAGGAGAGAGGAAAGGCUUUUCUUUCUUGCUGACAACCAAGUCAGUGAUGAGAAAAUUGCUGGG